GGAAAACGCUUGUGCUUCACCAAUCACGACAGCCACGAACGAGCAACCGUGAUGUGAACAUGUCUUUCUUUGGACUAACCUGACUGAGCUGGCGAACCUUGAGUGGCGGGACAUGAGCCUAAAGGAGCAUGGAAACGGUGUUCAGGCUGUCUAAAAACCGCUCGUAUUUCGUGAAAUGGCUCAUGAUAAACAUAUACGAACGGCUCAAACAAGUUCCAGUACAAAGCGAUUUAAUUGUAAAAAAUGCUGCCGCGGCGGGAAGUUUCCGGAUUCCAUCUCCAGGCCACUCCUCCGGUCCUGCGACGUCGCACCCGCAAUGGCCCUUAUUCCCUGCGAAAAAUUCGUCUGCUCUCGACAGAGCGAAGUGCUAUACUUGUUCGCUGCUAUUCAUUCUAGGAUAUCAAACAGGAAAUAAACGUUUUGAAAAUGGUAUCUGUUUACCGACGGCA